CCUACGGGAGGCAGCAGUAGGGAAUAUUGCUCAAUGGGGGAAACCCUGAUGCAGCAACACCGCGUGGGGGAAGAAGGUUUUCGGAUUGUAAACUCCUUUUGUCAGGGAAGAAAAUGACGGUACCUGAGGAAUAAGCACCGGCUAACUCCGUGCCAGCAGCCGCGGUAAUCCGGAGGGUGCAAGCGUUACUCGGAAUCACUGGGCGUAAAGAGCGCGUAGGCGGGAUUGCAAGUCAGGUGUGAAAGCCUAUGGCUUAACCAUAGAACUGCAUUUGAAACUGUUAUUCUGGAGUGUGGGAGAGGUAGGUGGAAUUCUUGGUGUAGCGGUAAAAUCCGUAGAGAUCAGGAGGAAUA
rnacentral:rRNA from 1 species